rnacentral:lncRNA from 1 species
AGCAGGCUCCUGCCUGGGCGAGGCUGUCGGGCCGCAGGGGAAAGAGACCUAGAGGGUGUCGGGGGCCACCAGGCAGUGGCGGCCUGGCUGUCCGGACUUGAGUGUCUCCAUUUCUGAAAUGGUGGUUGGGGAGGGAAAUUAAGCAGGGCUUCGGGUCAGGCAGCCCACGUUUCAACUGGUAGGAUUGCUGCAUUUAUCAAGUAAGAUACAGAACGCCCAGUGACAUUGGAAAUUCAGAUAAACAACGAAUACAUGAGUUAUUUUCAAUAUGAUUAUUUUAUUAUGAUUAUGUCAGUGUGACAGUCACCUGAGUCUGUUUUUCUCCUCUGAGACACACGUGUAGAGGCAGCUCCUGUCACAGCCAGGAUUCGAACCCAGGAAGUUUCACUCCAGACCCGGGGCUGUGACCACCUACUCUUACCUCUCGAAGGCUCCCUCGCUGGAAUGUCCUCCAAAUCCAAGUCAAGUCAGCUCAGGCCCCAGGCAGAUGCUGCAGUGUGUCCUAUUGGGGUCCCUUGGGAUCUCAGAGGCAACUGCCUUCAAGCGCCAGGCUGGUGGCAGAAAGCACUGGGACAGUAGCAGGGGUGGGCCUAUGGGGAAGUGAGAGGGCACACUUCCUGUCUAGGAUUUUUUUUUUUUUUCUUUUGAGACAGAGUCUCUCUCUGUUGCCUAGGCUGGAGUGCAGUGGUGCCAUCCUGGCUCACUGCAACCUCCGCCUCCUGGGUUCAAGCGAUUUUCAGCUAACUUUUGUAUUUUUAGUAGAGACAGGGUUUCACCAUGUUGGCCAGGCUGGUAUCGAACUCCUAACCUCAAGUGACCUGCCUGCCUCGGCCUCCCAAAGUGCUAGGAUUACAGGCGUGAGCCACCACGCCCAGCCCUUGUUUAUGAUUUUUUGUGCAAAAUGUUGAAUUGGCCAGAAAGAUCAUUUCACCAUCCCAACCACACCCACCUCCUCUGCAGGGAGCUAGCCUGGGAACCAGCUUGGGCUCCUGCCCUGGUCUCCAUUUCAAACUCCUUUUUCCUUUUUCUCAGAGGCUCAGGCCUGGGCAGGAUGCCAGGGUAUCUGUCCCCAGCUCAGCAACCUUCCCAGUCUACCCUGCUCCAGGUUCAAAGCCAAAUCACCCCUGGGCCUGGUGCUCUAGGCCUCAGUGCCUCCCCUAUCCAGGGGCUGGGAGGAGGGCUGCUGUAGUGGCCCUGCCCCCUAGGGGCCUCCUUUGAGCACAAACUCUCCUGUCACUGCCACUCCAGCCUGGACACACAUGGGGAGUAGUGGUUCACGCUCAGUCACCAUGGCCCCUCACUCACACAAGGCAGUGGGUCCCCAAAGCCAGAGCCCUUUCCUCUCAGUCCUCGUUCUUCAAGUUUCUUUCCUCAUAGGCCCAACCCUGAGGGCACAAUGGUGAGAAGUUCCCUAUGGAUUCACUCACUGCCCACAAUGGCUGGUGAGGUGAUGAUUCCUUCCCCGGAGAGGCAACUCCAUCCUUGCUAGGGCCACAUGGAGACAGGGACAUGCCCAAAUGGCCCGUGCUCCCAGGGUAGAUGAGGAUCAUAAGUCCACAGUAGAACUGUGACCAGGAAGUCCCACAGCCCCAGAUAAAGAUCUUCACUUUGCUUUUGGCAAAAACCUACUCUGCUUACCACAACCUACACGAUCCUACACAGUGUGAACUCCUUCAGUCACCCUCCACCUGCCCUGGCCACCCUCCGACCGCCAAUCAUUACUGAAGCCAUUCCUACUGCAGGGCCUCUGCCCUCACUGUGUCCUCUGCUGGACUGCGCUAGUCAUAUGGUGGCUUCUCUUACCAUUCAGCUCAAGCAUCACCUCCUCUGAAAAGCCCUUGCCAGCCACCCUACCCAACGCUGCACCCCAAUCCCUCUUGCCUCACCCCGACUCAGUUUUUCAUAAUAUUUGUCACACUCUGAAAUUGCCCUGUGUAUUAACUGGUUGCCUUAUUUAUGGUCCACCUGCCCCACAGACUCUAAGCUCCAUGUGGGCAAAGUCAGACCAGCCAUGUGCUCAGGACACCUCCAGCACCUGCACAGUGCCCGGCACACACUAGGUGCUAGGUCACGUCUAUCAAUGCAUGAGUUAGGAGAGCCUGGGUCCCAUGAGUUCUUGGACAAAUCACUUUCCUUUCCAGCCUGAGGUCCCGGCUAGGCUCACGGCCAGAGACCCAAAGGUGGAGAGAGUCUGAGUCAUCCUUAUGUGUGAGAGCAGGACUCUGUGGCGCUGACUCAGCCCUGUGGGAUCCAGAUGGGUGGAAAUGUGGAGUCAGACUCCAGUUCCUGCUGCAAUUCCCUGCCACCUCCGAGUUUCCCUGGCCCAUCACCUCCUGAGUGAUGGGCGUGACAACACUCUAUGUCACAACUUCCUGCUAAAGUAAGGACAAGAAAUUUCCACUCAGCUCAUGCCAGCACAGAGAGGUUGAGAAAUCAGGCAAGGUCACCCAGACGACUAGGAGUGAUAUCAAUAUUUAAAGUACAUAUAUUCUGGUGAGGUGCAGUGGCUCAUGCCUGUGGGCCCAACACUUUGGGAAGAUCAAAUCAGGCGGAUUGCUGGAGCCCAGGAGUUCAAGAUCAGCCUGGGCAAUAUGAUGAGACCCUGUCUCUGCAAAAUAAAAUAAAAUAAAAUAAAAUAAAAUAAAAUAAAAUAAAAGUAGCCAGGUGUGAUGGCACAUGCUUGUAGUCCCCGCUACUUGGGAGGCUGAGGUGGGAGGAUCACUUGAGCCCAGGAGGUUGAGGCUGCAAGGAGCUGUAAUCCAUGUCACUGCACUCACGCCUAGGUGACAGAGGGAGGCCCUGUCUCAAAAAAAACCAAAAACCAAAUAUUCCAGGAACCCUGCAUCCAGAGCUCUCUCCUUCCUCCCCCUUCCCCCUCAGCCAUCUUUCUUUUUUUGUUGUUGUUUUGUUUUGUUUGAGACAGUCUUGCUGUGUUGCCCAGGCUGGAGUGCAGUGGUGCCAUCUCGGCUCACUGCAACCUCUGCCUCCUGGACUCAAGAAAUUCGCCUGCCUCAGCCUCCCAAGUAGCUGGGACUACAGGCACCCGCCACCACAGCUGGCUAACUUUUCUAUUUUUAGUAGAGACGAGGUUUCAC